CCAUUUUUAUUGCGUACGAGUUGCUAUUCUAGUGAAAAAUCUAGUUAUUUUUUGCUUAACAACCAACCAAAUGUCAGUGUCAGAUCAGUUGACCAUAGAAGUAAUCUAAUAUCUUUUCGAUCUCGUGGUAAAUCUAACCCUGUAUAUAAUCUUUGAAUCCAACUUUAGUUCGAUUUUCUUCUUGUUGUUUCCAAUAUUUUUAUUAUUGUGAUCAAGAAUGGAUAAACUAUCCUGUAAAAAGAUCCAGUUUGUAGCUGAAAAGCUAAAAAUAAGAUAAAGUGAGAUGUUAGAAGCAUCUACUGAUAAUAUUUACUUGCCAAAGUUGUGGUUUUAUAAAGACCUUCUAUUUACUGAUCAAGGAGCAUCCAAUGUGUUCAAAGCAGAACCUUGAACCUGAAAUUGUGUACAGUGAUGUAGAAAGCUUGGGAUGCUUAUCCCAAAAAGGAUAAUCUGAAACACCAUCUCAGUAGGGCCCAAAGUCAUUCAAAAUAAAAAGAGGUGGUAGAUUAGGGGAACCAGAAAAAGAAAAUAUCACAAAUCUAUUUACCUCUGCAGUGACAGUGCUGCCAAGUAAAAAAAGAAUAGUGAAGAAGUUCAUCAUCAGCCUAAAAAGCAUCGUUUAUUUGCAGAAUGAAAUGGAGACAUAAGAGAAUCAAGAUUAAUUUGACGACUUGAAUAGCAAAAUUUCUAGCCUUUAAUUUGAUGCAAAAAGAGAGCAAGAAAAAAUGAAUUACUAUUCAUUUCUAAUUAUAUUUUAUUUCUGGUCUCUUUAUUUAUUUUACAGUUUCCUUUUUUCAAUAGUUCUCAUAAUACUUAAUAUUCAAUAAAAGUAUAUCUAAUUUA